rnacentral:rRNA from 1 species
CCUACGUGAGGCAGCAGUGGGGAAUAUUGCGCAAUGGGCGAAAGCCUGACGCAGCGACGCCGCGUGAGGGCUGAAGGUCUUCGGAUCGUAAACCUCUGUCAGCAGGGAAGAACGGUCACUGUGCUAAUCAGCAGUGAAUUGACGGUACCUGCAAAGGAAGCACCGGCUAACUCCGUGCCAGCAGCCGCGGUAAUACGGAGGGUGCGAGCGUUAAUCGGACUUACUGGGCGUAAAGCGCUCGUAGGCGGUAUGUCAAGUCAAGGGUGAAAUCCCCGCGCUCAACGUGGGAACUGCCUUUGAAACUGGCAAACUGGAGUGUGUGAGAGGAUAGUGGAAUGCCAGGUGGAGGAGUGAAAUCCGUAGAUAUCUGGAGGAACAUCAGUGGCGAAGGCGACUAUCUGGCACAUAACUGACGCUGAGGAGCGAAAGCGUGGGUAGCAAACAGGAUUAGAUACCCGUGUAGUC